rnacentral:rRNA from 1 species
GAUGAACGCUGGCGGCGUGCCUAAUACAUGCAAGUCGAGCGAACGGACGAGAAGCUUGCUUCUCUGAUGUUAGCGGCGGACGGGUGAGUAACACGUGGAUAACCUACCUAUAAGACUGGGAUAACUUCGGGAAACCGUAGCUAAUACCGGAUAAUAUUUUGAACCGCAUGGUUCAAAAGUGAAAGACGGUCUUGCUGUCACUUAUAGAUGGAUCCGCGCUGCAUUAGCUAGUUGGUAAGGUAACGGCUUACCAAGGCAACGAUGCAUAGCCGACCUGAGAGGGGGAGCGGCCAAGCUGGAACUGGGACACGGUCCAGACUCCUACGGGAGGCAGCAGUAGGGAAUCUUCCGCAAUGGGCGAAAGCCUGACGGAGCAACGCCGCGUGAGUGAUGAAGGUCUUCGGAUCGUAAAACUCUGGUAUUAGGGAAGAACAUAUGUGUAAGUAACUGUGCACAUCUUGACGGUACCUAAUCAGAAAGCCACGGCUAACUACGUG